UGCCACGGAGCUUUAUAUCCACCGCCAAUUGCGAGGAGGUCAAAGCAGAGAUGCAGGACGUGGGCAAAUAUUUGGGGGAACCUUUUGCGGCGGACCUCUUAGCAGCGGAAACGCGGAUGAGUAUAAAAAAUUUCGUCCACUUAAUGGACGAGCCGGUAGAGGCUUUCCCUCACACAACUAUAGCGUCAUACAGGGUAAGCCAGGACCUACUGGAACGUUUCUUCUGCAGGAUGGCAGAGCGGGGUCAUUAGUGGAAAUCAUAAAGCUGACGGAAAGAUUAAAGAACCUGCAGUUGGCAAAAUGGGCAGGUGGAUUCAGAGCCGAUGAUGACUACUACCUCAUAGACAAUAUGAACUACAAAAUCGAAGUCCUGGCCACAGAAGAGUUUACACUAUUCGGCAUCGGGCAAUGAAGCAACACAUGGUGGAACGGGACAUCGGCAAGCGCCUGCAGUCAACUGUGGGGGCACGGUUUAUCCUCUUCAGGGCAGUAGAAUCCUGGACUAGCGACAGUAUCCACCGAAUCAAUUUACUUGGGUACGUGUCGUUCACGCUACUGACGCAAAGAAAUUGGAGACAGGCCUUGGAAGUCAACGUAACGUCAUUCUAAGACACACGAAACCUAUGAACAGCGAACGUUCAAGGAACAAUUGUAUAUGAAAUACAUUAAAGUAAAGAUUGAGAAAUAAGCAUACGUUGCCCCUCACCGCCUCAACAUAAUGAAUGAAGGUCUGCCACUUAAUUAAACUUUGGAAAGGGAAAUCAUGCGUGGGAAGCAGUAGA